GACGAACGCUGGCGGCGUGCUUAACACAUGCAAGUCGAACGGAAAGGCCCUGCUUUUGUGGGGUGCUCGAGUGGCGAACGGGUGAGUAACACGUGAGUAACCUGCCCUUGACUUUGGGAUAACUUCAGGAAACUGGGGCUAAUACCUGAUAGGAGCUCCUGCUGCAUGGUGGGGGUUGGAAAGUUUCGGCGGUUGGGGAUGGACUCGCGGCUUAUCAGCUUGUUGGUGGGGUAGUGGCUUACCAAGGCUUUGACGGGUAGCCGGCCUGAGAGGGUGACCGGCCACAUUGGGACUGAGGUACGGCCCAGACUCCUACGGGAGGCAGAAGUGGGGAAUAUUGCACAAUGGGCGGAAGCCUGAUGCAGCAACGCCGCGUGCGGGAUGACGGCCUUCGGGUUGUAAACCGCUUUCGCCUGUGACGAAGCGUGAGUGACGGUAAUGGGUAAAGAAGCACCGGCUAACUACGUG
rnacentral:rRNA from 1 species